rnacentral:sRNA from 1 species
CGUCCACCCAUAGACCCCUUCUUAUUCUGUCCCCGCUGCACGCCGUGCCCCUAGACUGCUGGGCGCAGGACCCCCACCGCAGGCCCGACUUCGCCUCCAUCCUGCAGCAGUUGGAGGCGCUGGAGGCACAGGUCCUACGGGAAAUGCCGCGGGACUCCUUCCAUUCCAUGCAGGAAGGCUGGAAGCGCGAGAUCCAGGGUCUCUUCGACGAGCUGCGAGCCAAGGAAAAGGAACUACUGAGCCGCGAGGAGGAGCUGACGCGAGCGGCGCGCGAGCAGCGGUCACAGGCGGAGCAGCUGCGGCGGCGCGAGCACCUGCUGGCCCAGUGGGAGCUAGAGGUGUUCGAGCGCGAGCUGACGCUGCUGCUGCAGCAGGUAGACCGCGAGCGACCGCACGUGCGUCGCCGCCGCGGCACAUUCAAGCGCAGCAAGCUCCGGGCGCGCGACGGCGGCGAGCGCAUCAGCAUGCCACUCGGUGAGGGGCGGGCCCCGGGGCGUCCCCCGCCAUUGGCUGCGGGGGUGGGGGUGGAGCCAGGCCUGUGUGCUGACCGCGCUGGGAUUGGUUUAGGGUGUUGUGGUU